GAAAUUUAACAUGGAGAAGACGUGGGAGCUGGGAUGUAGAAUUCUAUUAUGUGAUAAUGCCCCAAAGGGCAUUGAGCACAGCAGAAGCAAAGAAAUAACCAUGUCAUUUUGUUAAAGAUGUUGGGGAAUACGGGCUUGGAACAUUCUGAUGGUGUCCCAACACAUUCAAUAUUGGGUUGGUUUGAUUGGCUACUCACUUUAUCUGAAUUCCAGUCUGAGGACCCAAGUGGUAGGUGAUAUUCUCCCUGGACUCUGGAGAAAAG